rnacentral:rRNA from 1 species
UACGUAGGGAGCAAGCGUUGUCCGGAUUCAUUGGGCGUAAAGAGCUCGUAGGCGGUUCAGUAAGUCGGGUGUGAAAUCUCCGUGCUCAACACGGAGCGGCCACCUGAUACUGCUGUGACUCGAGUCCGGUAGGGGAGUGUGGAAUUCCCGGUGUAGCGGUGAAAUGCGCAGAUAUCGGGAGGAACACCAGUAGCGAAGGCGGUCUGCUGGGCAGUUGCUGACGCUCAUGCACGAAAGCGUGGGGAGCAAACAGG